UCAGCCUCCAGAGUAACUGGGAUUACAGGCAUACUCCACCAUGCCCCGCUGAUUUUGUAUUUUUAGUAGAGAUGAAGUUUCACCAUGUUGGCCAGGCUGGUCUUGAACUCCUGACCUCAAGUGAUCCACGGCCUCGGCCUCCUGAAGCGCUGGGAUUGCAGGCACAAGCCACUGCGCUUGGCCAAAUGCUCUACUUUUUAAUCAAUGUUUUCCAUAAUAGGGAUUUUUGCUAUGUGCUUUAGAAAUUAGAGAACAAAUGGUGAUAAUAUAUGCUAAACUUAAAAUUAGUAUGCCUCCUUUUAUAGACAACAAGAACUUUGUCACUUCCCAGUUUGUCUUGUCAUUCAGGAGGCUCAGAGCUACGAUCUGUGCCCACUCGUGCUGCCUAUUCUUAACUUUGAUUUCCUGAAGCAGGGAUUUCAUCUCCAUUUCCCCUCAUCACCUGUUCUUUUAACUGUUUAAAAACAGCAUUACAUUUUGUUGAAAGUGGCCUCAAAUUCUUUUUGGUAGAAGGGAAAUUAUAAUUCGUGAGAAGAAAAAAAUGUUCCUAACUAUUCUCAGGUGCGUUUAAGGGCUGCAUUCCAUGAUGCUAUCAAUGCCUCUUUCAGCUCACAGGAUAUCAGCCCUCUUAAUGAGCCUGAUGUUGCUAGUAUCACAGGCACCGGAAAAUAUGCACAUUAUGCUGGAGCAGUAGAAUGCAACAGAAAGAGCCCUGGGCUUGAAGUAUGCAGAACUGGUUCUUGUUACAACUCCUCUUACUAGUGGGCUCUGGAAGAAAACACAUUGAAUUGAUGAUCAUGGUUAACCUUUGGAGAGAGAGAGGAGACCAGGAUGAAGGAGCCAGUCCAAGAUCCUGCUCAAGUGUACACUGAGCCAGCAGGUUCACCAGAAAGCUAUUGAGCAUUUGCUGGAACACAUUAUGCAGGGUGAAUUUCUUCUGGAAUGUUGCCAAGGAUUUUUUAUGCUUCUGUGGCAGGCAUUUCUUGAACAUUGUCAUUUAGCCAAGCAAAGAAGAUUUGCUUAAAGGAUAGAAAAUGUUUAAAAAUUUUUGUUUGUUUAAAAAUAGGUUAACUGGCAAUAUGAUCUCAGGAUAAGACAGAGAAAAGCACUUAUUCCUCUAAGUGAUCUGAUUAGGUUAGUGAUCUUUUGCGUUUAAACAGAUUCAUCGUUAUUCCUAAAGUAUUGCUAUAUUAAUACUGUCUUCUAGAAAGUAUCCCCCAGUGCCUACUUUUCUUUGAUAUCAUUAGCUGUUUUUCGAAACUGAA